UACAGGGGGUGCAAACGUUGCUCGGAAUCAUUGGGCGUAAAGCGCACGUAGGCGGUUCGUUAUGUCGGAUGUGAAAGCCCUUGGCUUAACCGAGGAAGUGCAUCCGAAACUGGCGAGCUAGAGUACGAAAGAGGAUCGCGGAAUUCCCGGUGUAGAGGUGAAAUGCGUAAAUAUCGGAAGGAACACCUGUGGCGAAAGCGGCUCACUGGACCAUAACUGACGCUGAGGCGCGAAAGCUAGGGGAGCAAACAGGG
rnacentral:rRNA from 1 species